rnacentral:rRNA from 1 species
UAGUGAGUUUGAUCCUGGCUCAGGAUGAACGCUAGCGGCAGGCCUAAUACAUGCAAGUCGAACGGUGGUAGCAAUACCAUAGUGGCGCACGGGUGCGUAACGCGUAACCAACCUGCCCUGAACUGGGGGAUAGCCCGCCGAAAGGCGGAUUAAUACCGCAUAAACCAACAGAGUGGCAUCACUUAAUUGGUAAAGAUUUAUUGGUUCAGGAUGGGGUUGCGUGACAUUAGCUAGUUGGCGGGGUAACGGCCCACCAAGGCGACGAUGUCUAGGGGGACCUGAGAGGGUGAUCCCCCACACU